rnacentral:rRNA from 1 species
AAAUGAAUAGACGGGGACCCGCACAAGCAGCGGAGCAUGUGGUUUAAUUCGAAGAUACGCGAAGAACCUUACCAAGGCUUGACAUCGUAUGCAAUCCAUAGAGAUAUGGAGUUCCUUCGGGACAUACAGACAGGUGGUGCAUGGUUGUCGUCAGCUCGUGUCGUGAGAUGUUGGGUUAAGUCCCGCAACGAGCGCAACCCUUAUCGAUAGUUGCCAAUAUUAAGUUAGGAACUCUAUUGAGACUGCCGUGGAUAACACGGAGGAAGGUGGGGAUGACGUCAAAUCAUCAUGCCCCUUACGUCUUGGGCUACACACGUGCUACAAUGGCUACUACAAAGAGCUGCGAAAUGGCAACAUGGAGCGAAUCUCAUAAAAGUAGUCUCAGUUCGGAUUGUGGGCUGCAACCCGCCCACAUGAAGCAGGAGUUGCUAGUAAUCCCGAAUCAGCAUGUCGGGGUGAAUGCGUUCCCGGGUCUUGUACACACCGCCCGU